AUUCCAUGCUGUUUAACCUGACCGGCCACAACGCCUCGCUGCUGCGCUGUGAGGUGAAUGUGACGCAGGACGCCGGCUUUGCUCUGACAGUCCUUCAUGGCAGCUGCAGACUCCGCAGUGUGAACUCAGCUUCAGGAGGAAACGUCUCCCCUCAACCCUAUGUCACACUUUCUGAAACCAUCGCUGUGCAGGCUGGAGGAAAAUAUGAGUGUCAGCUGCAUCUGAAGGAGGAUCUGAUAAUUAAGAGUGUCUUCCACAACAACUUGCUGGAAGGGGCUCAGACUAAUGCGACGGCAUGUUCGCCGGACAUUCCUGUGGUGGUUGGGCCAGAGUACCCCGAGCCGUGGCUGCUGUACAUGGCCCUCCUGCUGGUGCCCAUCACCGUCCUGCUCGGACUCGCAACCGCCAUGCUGAUCAGGAGAGGAGUCUGAGACGGAGGUUCGGUCUGUCAGCAGAGAAAUCACAACCAGGAUGAAACGAACGAGAGGAGAAGCAGCUCUGCAUCCCCAAACAGCGUGAAGACUGUCAGCGAUGAGGCUUCAUUUUCACUCAGGACACAGCCAGCGCUUCACAAAGAGACACAGACGAUCACACAGCGGCAAAAUGAUCAGAACGUGACACAACAUAUGACAAAAGUGAUACAAAAAGAUACAAAAACAACCAAGAUUAGACACAAAGCAACCACAGACCCAAGAGGGACGAAGACUGGCUCCAAAGAAAUCCAAAACGACUAAAAUGAAAUUCAAACAUCCACAAAGAAAGACUAAAUGGCUGUAAAGACAUACAAAAUGGUCACAAAUGAUGUAAAUGUAACACAAAAUGACCCAGUCACAAAUGUGACCAAAAAUGAUCACAAAAAGAUAAAAUUUAACCAAAAAUUGGUCAAAUGUGAAACAAAACAACCACAAAAAAGAUGCAAAAAAACACACCGAAAUUGUUCAAAUGUGAAGCAAGACGACAAAAAAAGAUGGAAAACAACCGAAAUCUGGUCAAAUGUGGAGCAAAAUGACCACAAAAAUGAGGCAAAAUGACCAACAUGUGACACAAAACAACCACAAAAAGCCGUAAAUUUGAUGAAUUUCUCUUUUUCUUUGUAUCAGAACCUAAUUUGGAAAAACCAAACUGAUAAACCUCCUCCACAGACAUGUCCAGUACCAGACUUCAUUCAUAAUGCUGCCAGUUUGCACUCGCUGCUGCUGUGUCUGUAAAUAUGUAAGAGUCAGUAAAUGAAAUGUCAGCGCUCCUCUGAUGAAAGACGUUAGUGACUGAAGUUAAUCCGCU
ensembl:lncRNA